UGCGCAGGCGGAACGGUAAGUCAGUGGUGAAAGCCUACAGCUCAACUGUAGAAUUGCCAUUGAUACUGUCGUUCUUGAGUAUAGUUGGAGUGUGCGGAAUGCAUCAUGUAGCGGUGAAAUGCAUAGAUAUGAUACAGAACACCAAUCGCGAAGGCAGCUCACUAAACUAUAACUGACGCUCAGGCACGAAAGCGUGGGGAUCAAACAGGAUUAGAUACCCUGGUAGUCC
rnacentral:rRNA from 1 species